AGUGAACGCUGGCGGUAGGCCUAACACAUGCAAGUCGAACGGCAGCACAGUAAGAGCUUGCUCUUACGGGUGGCGAGUGGCGGACGGGUGAGGAAUACAUCGGAAUCUACUUUUUCGUGGGGGAUAACGUAGGGAAACUUACGCUAAUACCGCAUACGACCUACGGGUGGAAGCAGGGGAUCUUCGGACCUUGCGCGAUUGAAUGAGCCGAUGUCGGAUUAGCUAGUUGGCGGGGUAAAGGCCCACCAAGGCGACGAUCCGUAGCUGGUCUGAGAGGAUGAUCAGCCACACUGGAACUGAGACACGGUCCAGACUCCUACGGGAGGCAGCAGUGGGGAAUAUUGGACAAUGGGCGCAGGCCUGAUCCAGCCAUACCGCGUGGGUGAAGAAGGCCUUCGGGUUGUAAAGCCCUUUUGUUGGGAAAGAAAAGCAGCAGGUUAAUACCCCGCUGUUCCGACGGUACCCAAAGAAUAAGCACCGGCUAACUUCGUG
rnacentral:rRNA from 1 species